UACGUAGGGGGCAAGCGUUGUCCGGAUUUAUUGGGCGUAAAGAGCGUGUAGGCGGUUCGGUAAGUCUGUCGUGAAAUCCUGAGGCUCAACCUCGGACGUGCGAUGGAUACUGCCGGGCUAGAGGAUGGUAGAGGCGAGUGGAAUUCCCGGUGUAGCGGUGAAAUGCGCAGAUAUCGGGAGGAACACCUGUGGCGAAAGCGGCGCACUGGACCAUAACUGACGCUGAGGCGCGAAAGCUAGGGGAGCAAACAGG
rnacentral:rRNA from 1 species